AACAGUCCUUUCCCUUGGGAAAGGGAGAGUGCUGAGCUCGAGUGAUCAAUAUGUGGUUUUGCUGUGGUUACUCGGGAAACUUCAUCCCUGAAAUCUUUUUUAAUCACAAGUUUUCUGGCAUCAUUUGACAGGAUCCAGCUUUUCACUUCUGAUCUACUGUAAGUCAUGGAAUCUGGCAAAUAGGCACAAAUCUGGAUGAGCUGGUUUAUGGAACAAUAAACACAGCAUUUGUAGCAGAUGUAUGGAGGCUGGAUUUGAUGGCUUCUGGCACAUCAGGAUCUCACUCAGGAAGCCCCUGAGCGAGGCAGCGCCGUGUGAACACGAGGAAAAACAACAUUUUCACUGCAUAAAAAUAAGCAGAAAUUCACAAUGCAUGACAUGAGAGCUGUAUUUGUGGACUUCAUGUCUGACACUAAAAUACGAGGCUCAUGUUAAAUGCUCCUGGGAAGACUUCAGAGCUGAUUGUUCAAUAAAAUGAAGCACAGGGAUGCUGCUCUGAGCCCGUUGUUCAAAUUUCCACCAAUAUUCUGUGUCAGAGAAGGAAAUAACUUAGAUAAGAUCAAUUUUCAAACAUGUUUCUUCAGGAAGGAACUAAAGAGCACUCCUGAAAACUACCUCCUGGAAUGUAAAAAUUCUGAUCUUCGGGAAAGUAAAGGAACUGCUGUGCGAGAUGAAAAAUGUCAAUAUAUUUGGAGGACAGGCUAUUUCAGACUGGUGGUGAACAACUCCAGAGUCAUGUUUUGGUGAACUUCUCCUCCAAGACCUAUUAGGCUGGCAGUACUUCUCUCCAGAUGUACCAUUUGGCACAUUAAACAGUUCUUUUCUUAGAAGGGAAACCUAUGGUUUUGCCAUGUAAUGCAGAACACCAAUGGAAUCACUACAUAAGCAAAAUGCCAGUAAUGGUACAGUGGUCCAGCCACAAACAUUGCAGAAGAGCUGGGGCAGAACAUGGCUGUGACUGUGUGCAGCUGCCCUUGGAGCUGGAGUGGAGGAGUCCCCCCUGUGCUGCCCGGAGCUCGGCCGUGCUGGUGGAGCGUCAGCCCAAAGGGAUGUGCAAGUCACCCAGUGGAAGGGGAAGCUGAGCUGCCUCCUGGUUCAGCUGGAGAUGAUGGGAGCAGGCAAACACCUCCCUGGGCUGCAGUGCCAGCAGAAAGGAGCUCAGGACCGUGGCCAACUCCCUCUGCAAGGGCUUCUGGAUCUGCCUCAGCCUGAGGAGAGACACUGCAACAGCCCUGAAGUUUCUGGUCCUGACAGGAGUUGGGAAGUGACAAGAUUUACAUAAACAAGGAAGAAUUAUCUGAAUCUUCUCAGGACUCGUGACAGUGAACUACAGCAAAGCCAGAGCAAAAAGGGUGAAGUGGAGAACUCUUCCCUGAGCAAGAUGAAAUACUGCUAUUACUGUGGAAUGGAAAUUCCAUCCUGACUCACCCUGCCUUUAACAGAUCUACAUCAAGUUCCAAGUCAUCAGGGCAGUGCCAACCAGAAGGAUUUUGCACAACUGGACACUUUCCCACCUCCACAGUGCCAGUGCUGUAUUACAGACAAGACCCUGAGCUGUCAGGACUAAAGACAUCUGGCUUCGGAGGGAGGUGGGUGUGACCAGCAGUAAAAACAAUGUUACAUAACUCUCAGGUAUUUCCAGGAUAACCCCUUUUUCUGUACAGGGCAUCCCAGGAGAAAAGUGAAGGCAGGUACCUCUGGGCAUCACUCUGGCUGCAAUCCAUCCCAGCACACAGGAGCACCCACGGGGUCUCCUUGUGCCACGUGUGGGGCUCCAAGAAAGCCAUCCCUGGAAUACAUGAUGGCAGAGGCAACAAGGCUUUGCUGCCAGCAGCUCACACACCCCCAGCAGCACUGUGCACAGGGGCUGGCAGGCUCUCCCACAGGCAGAACCGGGGCCAGCUGCACCAACAUGUCCCCGCUCGCUGCCAGAGCCGCAGCCCUGCUCCCAUCCCGCGGCUCCGGAACGAGCUCCUCAGCCCUUCCACACACAGACCCCUGGAGCUCACUGCUCCCCUCAGCCUGCCAGGAGCCUGGAGCCUCAGCUCCCAGCAACGUGAGCUGCCCAGCUCGUGUCACAGAUCUUGCUUUUCCUGAAAUCUCUGGAAUGGCAAUUAGUGUGCCUGCUCAUUUCACUCCUGACAAUGUGACCAGGAGCUUUUAGGAGAUUUGCUUAUGGACCACUUACGGAUGAAAUAGCAUCUGAAAAGGAUGCAGCAGGGAGAAGGUUCCUCAGAGCCAUUGCUGAUAUGAGACUUAUGGAAGGAAUUCAAGUUCUGCACCUUUGCAUAACAGCCCUACUCCACCUCCUGUCUAAGGGCUCAAGCCACCAAAACCCCUUCCUAUGGAAGCUGCCCAAGCUCCAGAACUUUCAGAUCCUUGUGUCCACAUCUCUACUCCUCUGACCUCCUCUUGCAUUAAGGAAGCACAAGGAAAGGAUUCAUGCUGCAACACAAAAUGCCAUGUUUUUUAUACCAGAACAUAUAAAUGCACAAAAGAAGUUUUUAAACAGCACAAGAGGUCAUGCCCAACCAGAUGUCUUGUGUGGCUUCAAAGAUAUCAUUUCACUGCAAUAUUGCUGUGGCACAUUUUGCCGGUGCAGGUAAAGGCCAGAUGAGCAGAGCUCCAUUUAUUUUCUCCCUCAUAAAACUCAAACUUGUUUCCAAAGUCACAGCUUUAAUGAGAUUGGAGAUUUUGAAGUGUCCAAGUUAGUCCUUGAAGCUAGUCCAGCCGCAGAGGUGGUGCGACACAGACAUGACAGCACUAGGAUGCAUUAGGAUCUUAAAGAAAGAGGGGUACACGAGAGGUGAGUAUCGCUCAGGGUUACACAAGUAUCAUUCUGACAUUUCUUUCCCCCAUUACUCCACAGGACCUUUAGCAGCACAGCCCAGCACUUUCCUGUCUGGCCAAAGGUGCCAGCACACCGACGGACGUUUUUUGAGAAUUCCCUGCUCCCCAGUAGUUAAAUUUUUGUCCUUUGCAAUUUCCAGAUUUCUGACAGAACUGCUAGUGACAGUUGUAAUAAUAUUCUGCAAAAUGUUGUGGUGGUGAUUCUUUGAAUGCCUUUGUGGUUUGCUGUCCAGAGUUAUAAUAACCUAUGUUUGCCCAGAUAUGUGUUCUCAGCUUGGAAGCACUGGAGCCAGCAUUUACUCUCCUGCCUGGGCGACUGCACGUGUGUGCCUGCAUGUGCUGCUGAACAUGUGAGCUAGCUCCAGGUGUUUGCCAAGUGCUUCCUGGUCCCUGGGAGGUACAAUUUGGGAUUCACAUCUCAGGGAAAGCGUGAGACUUAUAGUUUAUUCCAAAUAGUAGAAUCCACCAACGGGAAUCAUAGGUGGUUUCUGAGCCUCCUCUCAGUUUCAUGUGUUUAUCUAUCAAUUCUUUCCUUCCUUAAUCAUUUUAUCUUGGAAAAAAUACUGGAGGGAAUAGAGGAGAGGGAGAAAAAGUUUGUAUGACAAGAGACUGAAACUGGCACAGCUACACCGAGAUUAGUUUGAUAAGAGAGCUCACGUCAGAUGCCAGCCUUGCUCUGUUCAUCUCCAGGAGCUUAUCUGAGGUCCUGAGAAAGAUGAGAUACAGUAGCCAGUUUAUGUUAACCUUUGCUUGGUCUCAGGUCUACACGUACAGGUCCUUAGUGAAAACUGCUGAGUGAAACACUGAGAAAUCAGGCUUGGAUACACUGAAAUCAUAGAUCUGGGUAUGAGGCACCAAUCCCCACCAAAACUGUGCAACUUUGGAAAGACAACUCUAAGCAAAGCUCAAAAGAAGAUCCUCAAACCACUCAUAAAGUAUGUUCUCUGAAGUCUUUCUGUACCUUAUUAAACCUUUAUAUGUCUUUGUGUCCAUGAAGAAAACAAGAGGAGAGAUCUGAGAUAUGCGUGGUACUGGGCUUACUUUUAUAUAAAGAAAGAUAUAUCCCAGAAAUACUUUACAGAUAAUAAACUAGACCCUGGUAGUGCAUGGAUGCUAUAAAAGCCAGGGUUUCUAUUCUGUGCCAAGCAAAGGCUCCUAUAUAUAUUUUUAAAACUGGAUCUCAGUCAGCUGAAAUAUUGAAAAGAGUUAGUUCUAAAGAUGGCAAGAAAAGAGCUGAAUUUAAUUUGGGAAGAAAAUCCCGCAUGGUUUGGCUGCACACAAACAAUGCUACACCCCCUGAAAGCUUGGCUUUUGAAAUGAAUUCAUGCUCUAGAGGAAGGAAAAGCUGAGCAUACCCUCAGCAGUGACUGUCUGAGCUCAGCCUCGCACACAGUGUUACACAGCACUGGCUGUCACCAAGGAAUUGCAAUAUUAUGGAUUGCCACUGCACACUCUGGUUGUGGACUCUCAGGCCAAACAGCACUUUUACCCCAUAGUCACAAAUUAAAUCCUGUAAAGGCAGCCUAUAAUCCAUGUCCCUUCAGACCAUUAAUAUUACACUGUUUCUGAAUCUCUAAACUUUGCACCCACAUAAGGCUUUCUGUAUUGGGGAUGGUGGCAUGUUGGGAUCCUAAAUAGCAAAAUUUCCCUUAGGACAAUUCAAGAGCCUCAUCAGAGACCUCAAAAUCCUGCAACUGUAGAGCUAAGCACAAUUUAUGUGGAGCAGCCAUGCAGAAAAUCUUCUUCCAAAGCCAGAUUCUCAGUAGUGAUGUAAACUGCGCUUUGUCUCUUACCUCCUUCACAUUCCCUCUCCUGCACCCCCUCAGAGAGGGGAUCACCCUCUGCUGAAGCCAGCCAGCUGUGAGCUGUGCUCUGUGCUUUGUGGUGCCUCUCCCCAGCCAGGGAUGGGCAGUCACCCCCUGCCUGGGCACACACCGGGCCCACAGCGUGGUGCUGUGUCUGGGCACAGCACAGUUCCCGGGGCAGCUCUGCUUCCUGACACUGCACUCGCCUCCUGGCUCCAGGGGAUGCUGCUCUCCCGGCUCUGACCUCAUGCUGAGCGCCGAAGAAGCUGCUCUCAGGUCAUUAAGCUGACCAAGUGAUGGGGCCAUGGCUUGGACCAACAGGACAGGUUGAACUGCGAUGCAGGUCAAUGCUGAACCUCCCGAGAGCUGCCUCCGUCUGUGGAACCAUCCUAAAGCCUGUUUCAUCCUCCAGCUCCCUCUUUUCCAGGCUUCCAUGACUUUUCACCUUCUCCUUGCAGUUGUCAGGAUCCUUCCCCUCCUCACCUUCCCAAUGGGCUUUUCCACUCCCCUCUUCUCUGCAUUCCCUUCUCCCUGGGGAACACACGGGCCCUUCCCUGGUAGUCACUGCCUUGCCACCCAUCCUCCUCAUCACCUCUCUCCUGAAAGCUCCUGGGACCUGAGGCUUGGUCUUCACACACAGCCAAAGGCUGAAAGGAAAACCCUGACUGACUUACAUAAACUCACGUGUCUCAGAUUGAGAUUUCUCUGACACUGUUCAUUUCCAGCUCACUUUUUGUGGGUUUUUGGAAGCGAAAAAGUAAAAUUGAGAGCUGUCACCCAAAUUUAGAGCUUGGUUUGGGAAAGUUAAGCAUGAGUUGGAAUUCCUUUGUACCCAGGGAACACACAAGGAUGUUGGGCAUUUUGUAUGUCCUGUGUUUUCUACAUGUGGGUUGUGAUCUGCUUAAAUAUAUGCAUGUAACUACAAACCUGUAUGCUUCCAGUUCUCCAUGUGUUCUCUUGAAUUUAAGCCUCAGCUGCUAUUGAAAGGGAAGUUUCUACUCUGGAAAAAGAAACUAUACAUAAAGGGAUCCAAAUAAGCAGAAAAACUCAAGAGAGCUUUGUAGACACACACUUAUUUAAAAAAAAAAAAAAGAAUCACUAUUUCUGUGCACAUCUAUAUGACUACAUAUAAUCUUUUAAACACAAUUUCUUCCCUACUUUCUCUAUUUUCUUCUAUUUCUUUUGACAGAUACUAUUCACAGCAGAAGGAUACAUUGAAUAAAAUAUUUUUUUCUUAUUUUAAACAAAAUAAAAGGUAAUCUGAAAUAUAUAUUUCACAGUCCAAGGCCAGUAAACUACUGUGAGAUAUCUACUGGUAAGAUGCCUCUGACAUGUCAGUGUGAGAGAAAGCAGAUCCUACCCCAGACUCACAAUGCCGUCAGUCAAUACCAUCAUUUUUUCCUCCAUCUGUUGCUCUGAAUAUCCAUAGCUGACAUGGAUUAGCUGAGCAUUUUCUGUCAUUAUAACAGUCACUCCUUCAGUGUCCCAGCAUGUGUCAUUCCAUGUGCAAUGGGGAAGGAGGAGGCAGGUGACUCCCUGUUCUGAGGAACUAAUGCAAUCCAAGUAGAGCCUUUGUGCUAAAUGCAAAUCACUCCCAGGAAAGACAAAUCCAGUCACCUCUGAGGAAUUGCUUCAGCUCAGGAGAGAGCUGGUGGCAAUAUUGCAUGGCUGCCCAUCACCUGGGAAGGGCCAGAAAGGUGUUCCUUCAGCAGGCUGACAGUGUGCUGCUCACCCUCGGUAUCCUCCCCUUCCCUGCCCUGCUGGGCUGUGGGAUUUUAGGAAAAGGAUUUAGUCUCUGCCUCCUGCAGUUCUGCAGCAGCUGAGAAAUGUCACCUCCCAGCACCUCGGGGUGCUGCUGGGCAUACACAGAAGUUUGUGGUGGGUUCGACAGACACCACUGACAACACGAACAGCUGCUGGAAGAGCUGCCAGCAAAGGUGGCUGAUGCCACAGAUCGGACACAGAUCACCAGGUAUUGCCAAAAGAACAAGAGCAAAGGAGAAUAUGAUCUUCAAUUUUAAUGGCAGUUUCCCUCCUGAGGGACUAGGGGAUAAAUCUGAAGGUGUAAGAUCAAUUUUAGGUCUAAAUAUGGAGCCCACUGGGGUGCCAGAGUGUGUAACCACUCUCUCUGAGAGCUCAUUUCGGACCACACCACAUGGGUCUGCCACCUGCCGUCUUCCAAAAUCCUUCCCAGCCUCUGAGCCCUCUACAAUCAAGUAAUGAAAAUUAUGCACCUUAAAGUACCAAUGUGCACAUUAAAAAUCAGCUGAUCAAAGUAGAAUCUAGGACAAAAAAUAAUGUUUCCCUUCUUAAAAAAAAAUUAUUCCGGGAAACCGUAUGGCUCAGGGGGUUGGUACUGGGAUACAGAGCCUUUCAUCGCUGGUCCAAACAUGACCCAAGUCAGUAGUGACCAAAAAAAUGGUUACCAUUUGGCAGAUGCUUUGUGGCCUAGAGUAUUUGAAAUGAGCUGAUGGUCUUAAUCCAGUUCCCAGUGGACGACUCUCCACAUCACAGAAACCACCACCACAAUUGGCACCCUCUUUGGCAGCCCUGGCAGGUUGGCCAAGGAUUAAAUAAGUACAGAGACUGAGCCACCCGCUUCUGCCUGGCUAGAGGUUGCCCCUCUAGGUCAUGGAUGAGACACAGGGAUGGGGUGGAGUGGGGAAGCUCACACACCCUCUGCCUGUGCUCUGCUGGUUUUGUGGGUAAGGAGAGGAAUUCAUUUUCCAGGGCUGUGAUUCAGGCACCCUUCGUAAGCGGCAUAUUCGUGUACAUGCAUUUAAUUUAAGAAGGAGACAGAAACUGAGAGAAUUCCAGGAUUUAUUCUCAAAAAAUCAGAUGCCAGAUUGAUUUCUGGGAAUUCAUCAAAAUCAGGGUAAUUGUGCCUGGGCUGCACUUAACAAAGUGCACACAAGCAACCUGUAGAGCAGCUCUGCUUCAAGAAACAUUCCUUUUGCUGUGCUAUGUUAUCAGUCAUCACUUUAAUUAUCUCACAAGAUGUCUUAGAGUGAACCUAAUCUGUGCCAGCUAUUGUCAGAAAGCUAAAGCUGAUUUCUGGUUAGGUAUACAAUGGCAACUACCACGUAAGCAAAGAUCUGAUACACAUCAAAAAGUCCUAUUUGGGCAAUAUGAAGAAAAGCAGGGCUUUUGUCAGUGCUGAAAGGGGUUUUCAUUUUUGGAGAGGUAGAAUACAUCGUUCCUUCUUUCUAAUAAACAGCAAUCCCCUAACAAAAUAUUGUGAGCUAAAUCCUGCAGUUAUUCAGGCAAUGUUAGGGUGGAGCCAAAGUUUAAAGUGGGACUUUGGGCAGCACCUGGGCUGGCUGUGAGAAGGGCAAGUGGCACAAGCUUUGCACGUGCUUGCCUGUGUGAAGGCACAGAGUGAUCCUGCCCCGCUUGCAGGUCCGGCAGGCAACGCUGGAAGAAUUUUCCUGCACACAGGCAGGAAAGGCUUCCCCAAAGUCACAGCAAGAUUUUGGCAGAACCUCAAGCCCCUUCUGGGCUGUUUCAUUUCGUGCCUCUUACAGCAGUGCAGCAAACAUGGCAAGCAAUGAGAGCUGUGCCCAAGGAAAGUCAUGGGGAACAAACUCUGCAAUUUACUCGAGGCCCCCCUUUCCUAUUCACCUCCAUGACAGCCAGGGCACCUCAUUGUCUGCUGGACCUUGUUGCACCAAGUCUUUCAUAAGAAGGGGUGAAUAUCUGACUGGCAUUUUUCACUAAUAGACUGAUUUAACACCACCUUCCACAUUGACAGCAAGGCUGCAGUGCAGGGCAGCCUGGGACAGCAAGGAAUCUUCAGCCUACAGAAAGAAACUGUCAUGUGAUCUCUCCUGCAGCAUAGCCCUCGUAUGUGUAAGUUUUUAAAACACUUCUUGCAAAAUAGAAAUCCCAUGAAGCAAAAGUGGCAAGCUGCUAAAAGGUUCCUCAUCUGUGACAGCCAAAAUGGAGCAUCUCAUCUAAGGGAGCGAUUUCAUUAUUUACACCUGAGUUAGUGCUCAGAUCAGUGGGUUUGCAGGAAGGGAAGGUCCAGAUUUGGCAAUAAGCAGAGAUCAAAGUGCUGAGAAGUAGGACUUCUUCCCUGUUGGCUGGAGGAACACCACUCAGCCGAGCCCACUGCCUGACCCUGGACAUCCACAUGCUCCUGCCAUGCCAACGCAUGUUAGAUGUGAAGAGCACCCUAAGAGAAGUACUUGACCCAAACUGAACAAAUUUCCUAAUUGCAGUAAGGCAACACUUGAGGGUGUGGUUACCACAGAAAUCACACCCAUGGACAGAUCAGGAGCACCUGGCUGCACCUCAUGCCUCCUAAUGUCCCAGGGGCACAAUUAUCUCAUCAGGUGCCACCUGCCAAGUCUUGUUGCUGGGGAAUUGGCUUCACGGCUGUGCAGCUGGGGUGGGGACAGCAGAGGAGCACCGAGGGCCAGGCACACAUUCUCCUCUCGGGUGCAUUCCUUCAAAGUGAGUAUUUACACCAGGAGGGUGCCCAGGUUCUGCUCAGAAGCAUGGCUGUGUUUGGGGGUUCCAAAGCAAGGAGCAAGCUGUUGUUGCUGAGUCCUGUCCAGCACCCCACCCCCUCUGCACAGCUUGCAUUCUGUGUUACUGCUUCGUGCACAUCCCUGAACUUGCUGCUCUCCAGCCACUCAGUGCAGCCUGCAAGAGUCCCAAACAGAUGGACGAGCCUGGAAAAUUGCUUGACUGGCAAUUUUCAGAAUGUUUUGCCCUUUUUCUCCAAAAAGAGGAUAAGGUCGAAGUGAGACAGAGGCUUUACAUCUUGCAAGGUGCUCUGCCCAUGAGAACAGCAGACUGACAUCCCAGUGCCCGGCACACAUUGGGCUGAGGUUGUGCUGUGCACGUCACCUCUGCAGGCAGGUCCUUCUCUCUUCCCUGCUCUCCUUCUUCCCCAGGUCAAGGGUGAAGCCUGACCUCCACACAGCAAUUAAUGGAUCAGGGCCCAGCAAGACAAGCCAGACCAAACCUCUGCCUCUGCCAGGGCAGUUGAGCUUCUCUGGAACAAGGAAGAUCAUAAAACCCCAGACAAAGCUCUGUGCCUAGAGGUAAGUUACUCUCGGUCGAAAGGAUCUGUCUGGGGAACAAACUUUCAGAGAUUAGCCUAAUCCAGAGCCUGAUGACCUUUAGGUCACAGUGCAAGAACUUCCUCUUUGAUACAUCUUUUACACCAUAACCAGAGUGACAUUUACAACAAUAACCUGACCCCAUCCCUCCCCUCAGAAGCACCUAUGCUGGGCAGAGCUCCCCAGAGACAGAGAAAGCAGAGGAACAAAAGACUCCAGGAAGCCUACUAGGGAUGUGCCAAUCUAAUUAUUAUGGGCAGUGCUCAGAUACUGUGAUAAGAGGUGCCCAUAAAAAAAACCAAACAAAAACAACCAAAAACUGUAAAGCUGGUUGAUGUACCCUUUAGGCCAUGGGAGUGGAGAAAAAGGAAUUUACUGUGAAUCAGAUGACACCAUAUUUAUUUGCACUCCCACCCUCAGCCUUCUUGAUAGCGUCAAAGUCCACUGGGUUUGACGCUAUCCUGACAAAUUUAGCAGUAGUCCAGAGCAGCAGGGAAGAGAUUUAAGCCCCAUCCUUUGCUCCUUGCUCACUGUGCUGUACAGCAGUGCUCUUCUCCAACCAGCAAAAUCCUCCUCUUCCUUAAGGCUCAGCACAACAGGUCUGAUUCAGGAAUGUUCCCCUUCCUCUUCAUUCCCCUUGAAUUUCUCACCCUGAGUCAUCCGACUACAAUGUAACUUUAAUGUGGAAAGUUUUGUGGGUAGGUUUUGUUUUCUUUUAGCUUCAGAAAAGAAAAGGUACAACCAGAGGGGGGAAAAAAAGUGUCUCAUGGUUGAGAGGACUCUUUUAACCAAGGAGUCACAUGGCUCCCUGGCGAGCAGCCAGAGGAGUCAUGAGAGAUGUGGCCGUUCCCUUAACCAUGUCCUGCCUGCCGGCAGCCCCUGGCACCCCGGGCCGGCUCUGGUGCCCAGCCUGGCUCCCGCGGGGAGGCUCCUGCGGCAGGAGAGGGCUCUGUCGGAAGUGACCUCGGGACGUGGCUCAGCAGCACUUUCCCCGAGCUGUCCCCGAGGCCACGCUGGACGUGGUGCUGAAGCAGGGGAUGGCAAAGCCACGUCUCAGGUGUGACACAAUCACACCGUCUCUGCUGCCCGUGGUCACAAAGAGUCCCUGAAAGCGAUGAUGUGGCACUUACACCACGUUUUCUCUUUCCAAAGUGCUGUGGCAGCUUUUGCUCUCCUGCCCCUCCCCUCCCUUCAAGCCUUGCCAGCGCUGUUAUUGCCCCAUUAAAGCUGUGGGAAACCGAGGCAGGCAGCACUCAUGAUGCUGCUGUUCAGCAUCGUGGGCAUUGGGCCAGUCUCGGACCUUUCCUGUGCUCAGCACAGAGCAAAACCCACCACGGAAUAGUGCAAUCCUUAGAGGGGCUGGCGCUGGCCAGGGUCCAGAUCAACUAGAGGUGUGCUUGGGCUUUUUGAGAUGCUUUCCUGCCUUGCUGCCGGGGAUGUCGGGGCUGGUGCUGGUCCUGCAUGUCCACACAGCUCUGCUGGGCACGGGGCACCACAGAGCAGCUGCUGCAUUCCCCCAGCACUGAGGGAAACCAUCCUUGCCCAAUUCACUUCAAUACUGGUAGGAUUCAUUCACUUAUGAUCCUUGCAUGAAAGAAACUAUUAUUAAAUGGUAGUCACAUUUCAUAAUUAUGUCUCACUUCAGCCAGAUUAGGAGGGUGGAUAUGAUAUCCAGUCCCAAUACUGCAGCACUUGAGAAUUUUAAAUUAAAUACAUCUCCCUGUGUUUUCCAGGCCCUGCUUGAAGGCAGACAGAUCUUUCUGGCUCAUGCUCAGUUCCAGCUUUGAAAGCUGGGUUGCCCUGCAAUGCCUUGCAUGUAACACCAAAUGCUGCAGGGCUUUUGAAGUGCUUCUCUCCUUAAAAAAAUACAUAAUGUUUUGGCUUUAUGUCUGCUCUUGCUGGUUCCACAGGCCAUGAUUCUUUCAAUGGCCAAAGAACCGAUUUUGGGUUGUGUCUGACAUAGCCUCCUGUAAAUAUUGCUUUUGCUGUGUGUUCUUGAGAACUAUGGCCACAUUCCCUAUAAAUUGCAUAAAAUGGCAGCCUGUGCCAAGGCUGUAUUCAAAUGGAUACUGGAAGAACGAGGCUUGUGCUGACUUUCUGUUUGAUUCUCCUCCUGCUUGCACCAGAAUCACUCCAGAGCUGCUCCUGCUUUAUCAGCUUGCUGAGCUGCGGAUGUGACCCCAGGGGAGAGAAGCCUCAGGCCCUCAGUACUGAAAAGACAAGGUAUAAGAGCUUCCCAAAGUGCUGCACAGAUCUGAGUAGUGGCAUCCAGGAGGACAUGAUUUUGAAUGCCUUUGUUGUGCAUUCCAAGUCCAUGCUGGGGGAAGGAUGCAACUCACCAGCGCUGCCCUCACACCACCCACCUGCCAGGAGAGCCCACCGAGUCCCACCAGCUGGGAGAGUGCUGCCACUGACGAGCAACGGGGUGUCUCUGCUUCAGAGAAAGCAUUUGGGACACGCAGAGACCAGUGGACUUGGUGCCACCACACAGAGGAGAAUUCUUCUGCCGCAUGUCAAACACCUGAGCCUGGAUUUGCCCUCAUUUGCACACCUGCUAUACCACUGGAUGUCCUUUUUUUAACUUUUUAGGAACUUGGGGGGAAAUCUGACCUUGGACAAAGAGCUGGAACAAGACUACAUCACCGUGAUGAUUAAGUGGGAUUUUUGCAUAAAUAUGAAUUUUAUCCUUUGUUGAGGGAAAUCUGAUCCACAAGCACAGGCUGGAAAGAAAAUAAAUGUUCAGAACUGUGACUGCAGCAUGGGUAUAAACUGUAUGCACUAUUAAAAUCAUUUCCAGAAAAAAAAAAUACAGUAACUCUCUGAUUUAGCCUGUCUUGAAAUUUUCUAAAGAUAUGAUUUGCUGUAAAAUAAUUAAUAGGUGAUAAUCAUCUUGCUGUCAUAUCCUAGUAGAAUAAAGAUGUUUUUAUGAUGAGAGCAACUAUUUGGCCUCAUCUACCUUAACUUCAGAAAAGCUGCCUGUACUCCCUUAGGACUGAACAAGGCAGUUAACUUUCAGCUCCAUUGUACUAUCCAGAAGUGACUUUUAGAAAGAAAAGAAGACAUGGAGGAGGCAACUUUUUCGUAAAAGGUUCCAUUAUCAUGCAUGUUAUCAUGCAUAUUAGCAUGUUAUCUAAUGAUUUGUCCUAACAUCAUUUAGGCAGUAACAGGAGGAAAAAAUUAUAGAAGUGCAUUGCAUAUGGACAGAAAAACCUACUGAGAAAAUAUUUAAUGUCUGCAUCUAUAAUUUCUUCACAUUUUCUCUAGCUGAAGUAUUUGCAAUGUUCCUCGGGCAUGUGUUGCAGCAAAAGCAAAUGCAUAGGAGUUGUCUUGGCAAGAAGUGGAGAGCAAGUCCUGUGUAGCUCUCACAAUGGAGAGAAAAGAUAUCCUUUUACCUUUGGAGGAGGAUUGAAGGGAGAGUAAAAGAGAAGGAAAGGGUGCUAAUAACCCUUAAAAGACUGAAAGACAUUGCCCAGGAACCUGCCUUCCCUGGAGUCUCUUCCAGAGCACGCCUAUGCCUACCCUCCUGGACUUCCUUAGCCUCCCAAUAAUUCUGGACCUGUAAGCCUGGAGCUUUCAGCGACGAGUUUGUUCAGCUCAUGGACAGGGGAUUCACACGUGCAUGGCACAGUCCCAGAACACAGGAGUCAUGGAGGGUUCUCAUGGAGAGAGGCCUGGCUGGUUCUCAUACAGCCCUUCCACUCAGAGCACUUCUGCUGCACUCUGUCAGUUCUGUGCCUGGGGCAGGCUGGGGUGAUGCUCUACAGGAGGGCAGUGCAGCAUCAAGGAGGAAAGAGCAAAUAGAAUGAGAAGAACCAAGCAGACAGGUGAACCUGGAGUUGCAAAGGGCCCUCUGUCAGGCAGUUAGCAGCUGCAGGGGCUUUGCCAGCAGGCAUGAAAGGCACUGGUAAGAGUCCACUGAGGGUAAAACAAUGUACAGAGGUUCUGGGCUGAAGAAAUUGGGCUUGCAACAACAACCAGUUCUGUAACACAUGGUGUCAGCACGUCUCCAGAGCUCCUUUGAUCUAUAGCUGGUCCCAGCUUUCUGUUGCUUGUGGUUACUUGGGAGGACUAGAGGGUUAAAGAGGCUCUCUGACAGCGUUUCAGCCCAAAUGACACAGUCCCUGCACUGAGAACACACGUUCCACCUGCAGCAGGACACAGUGCCAGGUACACCCAGGGCACUGCACCACUGCAUGAGAGGUGCCUGUCAGUACAACUGUGUAAUUGCAAUCACGUUGUUUAGCACUUUAACACCUCCUUUGAAAUGUUGUCUUCUGAGGGAUUAGCCUUGUUGGGCGUUUAAUAUGCAAAUAUACCUGCAUUUAAUCUCACCUACUCAUCUAAAUAUUUCAUGUUGCUUUAUACCCACUAUUGUGUUGGUAAUGCAACAUAUGUAAUAAUUCCAUGCUGUCAUCCUACAAUUUCUGGAUGCUGCCACCUUUCCUUAUCAUUACUUAAGUCAUUGUUUUUUUCAAUUUCAAGGUGUGCUAAACAUCUAAUUCCCAGAACUAAUCGCCACGAAGGAUUGAGAGAGUUUCCUUCAUCCAAAUGCAUUUGGAUUCAAGGAUGUUCAGAACUCAAGUGCUUGAUGGAGACCUUGGCAUGGAGAAGAGUAGCCAGUCACAGAUUUACCAGAGCUCUGUGGUUUUAGACAGAGAAUUUUAUUCUGGGUGUCUCAGUGAAAUGAUGGACUUUAUCUUCUAGAGCUACCAAGAAAUCAUCUCACAGUCACUCUCCCAUCUUUCUGUAGCUCCUUUGAUACAGGGAAAUAGCCUGUACCAGACAGGCAUGCCAAGCUCACAGUGCUUAUGGCAGCCCAGAGUGAAAAUACCCUUUAUCUUUCUCAUUUCUGCUCAUUUCUCAUUUUAGCUAAUGCUAAAGCUAGCUUUAGGUGAUCCAGAAGACAGUUGAUACCCUCUGGAGAUUCAUCUGUUCUGUCUAUAAGCCAACACAUCUCUGAGGGAUGGUGAAGUGGAAUUCCAAAUCCUCUUAUAGAGGGCUAUUAUUACAGUACCAUGUAAAAGAACAACCUGAGGAUCUCAACUCUCCUCAGGCAUAAGACACUGCACAAAUAGGGGCUAAGGGAGCAAGCUUGCCCUAAAGUCUCAGUUAUGAACAAGGUGCAAAAGCAGGGAAAUGAUGGAUUUACCCCACAGCCCAGUGACUGAGCCAGAGACAAUCCUGUUCCCAUAACAGCCUUAAUCACAGAGGUUGAUCCUGCCCUGAUCUGACCAGGAUGGGAAGAGGGGGCAUCCCGACUGUCCCAGCUGGCAGGGAGGCAUUGCUGGCAUCACUGGUGAGGCUGUGCCCCUGUCCCCUCACAGGCUGUGCCCCCCAGGGCACGUGGGCUGCCCUCUGCCUGCACUGCUCCCUCCCUCCCUGCACACAAACUCCAGGGACUCUGUCCAGCAGUCCUUUAGGGAAUCUUUAGGGCAAUCUUUAGGCAUGAGCAGUUUCCUGCAGGCAUAGGAAAAAUAUACAUUCCUUCUAACCCACCUCCCACAAGCGUGGAGAAGCCAUGUUGUAAAGGGUAUGGAAUUGUAAGGACGUGGGAGCACCGGCAGAACAGAUGCAAGAUGUGCAGAGGAUUUUUAUCCCCCUACAUUUCCUAACCAGGCAGUAAUAUCUACUCACCAAUAUAAAUUAUUUGUUGUAUUAUAGUGUUAGUAUAGGGAUCCACUUUGAAGAUUUGUGCUGCUAGUCCUACAUACACACGCUCUCUUAGGAGUUAUUCCCAAUCACUCUAUAGCAAAUAACUGAAUUAGCUGUCUAUGUACCAGCAGAUAAUCCCCCAAAUAAGCCUCUUAAGAACCGAUUGUCAUGUUGCUGGUGAGUGCAUCCAGCCCCAGAGAACAUGAACAGCGAAAGGGGUACACAAAUGGAAAAUGGACAAGCACCAUUGCAUUUAGAAGCAGCCAAAUAUGUGUGUGUGUACAGAAGAAGAAAUGGUGUCACUAUUUGCAAGAAAUGGUGUCACUAUUACAUAUAAUCCUCGGGUUUAGACAUUUAUACUAACUGCAUUGAUAUUAUUAAAUGGCAGAUCUAUACUUUAAAUAUUUAAUUGGAUUACCAAAAUAUGUCCAGUGCAUUAAAAGGCAUCAAUCAUCCCACUACCAGCUGUUCGAGCCAAAGUGAGUUUCCUUUUUCCCAAAGUCAGGCACUAAUUGCUUCUGCUUGUAAAAGUGUUUACAGUGCCCCAGCGGGCCAGAGGUUAGCAGGCGAGCACCCCGAAGAAGAUGACUUUAUCAGAUAGUACAUUUACAAUAUAGAAACCGAUUUUAUAAAGGAGAUGGUUCUUUAAAAUAAUUUUGGAUGUAGUCUACAGCAACUUAACUUUCUUCCCAGCUAUUGCACACAAAGCACUGAGGCCCCGAUGCCUUCUGCAUUUCAGCAUUGCUUUUUCCAUUCUUAUAAUCCCAUUUCAUCACGAUGGGAUUUUUGCUCUACAGGUUUUGUGGUGGAAUAACCGGGCGCGACUGAGCACGGACACCCCGCACUCCAUUUGCUCGCCCGCUGCAUCUCAGAGUAUUUACGUCUUUAUUCCUGAAGGAGCGGCAAUGCAGAAGCCAAGGAGUCACUCCCAUAGCCGAAAGAUGAUAGAGAUCUCGGGGGAAAAUUAACAUAACCAUUGACAGUCCCUGAGAGCUCACUAAACAGCAGCUUGGGAGGCAUCCUCCCCUCCGGAGGGUGAGGGCAGCAGGAACAGACACCGGCAGAUAAUGCUCGAACGGGCUCCACUAUGCUUUAAUCUUCAAAAGCUACCAUUAGUAAGCCAGAGAAGUAUAUUUACCCACCAGAUAAACACCACAAAUGCGCUAGGCUGCUCUCCACUGAGCACUGAAAUAACUCCUCUUCCCUUUCGCUUCCCAAGGGGAGCGAGG